rnacentral:rRNA from 1 species
CCAAUAGCGUAUAUUAAAGUUGUUGCAGUUAAAAAGCUCGUAGUUGAAUUUCGGAGUUUAUCGGUUGGUCGGGCUUCACUGUCCGCACUGACCUGAUGGAUUCCUACCUUCUGAAUAACCAGCAUGCUAUUAAGUUAGUGCGUUGGGGAAGCAGAGCUAUUACCUUGAAAAAAUCAGAGUGCUUAAAGCAGGCUUAUGCUUGAAUAGAUUAGCAUGGAAUAAUAAAAUAGGACGGCAUGGUUCUAUUUUGUUGGUUUCUAGGAUCACCGUAAUGAUUAAUAGGGAUAGUUGGGGGCAUUAGUAUUCAAUUGUCAGAGGUGAAAUUCUUGGAUUUAUUGAAGACUAACUUCUGCGACAGCAUUUGCCAAGGAUGUUUUCAUUAAUCAAGAACGAAAGUUAGGGGAUCGAAGACGAUCAGAUACCGUCGUAGUCUUAACCAUAAACUAUGCCGACUAGGGAUCGGACGAUGUUAAUUUUUUAAUGACUCGUUCGGCGCCUUACG